GACAGAGGGUGCAAACGUUGUUCGGAAUUACUGGGCGUAAAGCGCGUGUAGGCUGCUCUGCAAGUCGGGUGUGAAAGCCCCGGGCUCAACCUGGGAAGUGCACUCGAAACUGCAGAGCUUGAGUCCUGGAGAGGAAGGCGGAAUUCUCGGUGUAGAGGUGAAAUUCGUAGAUAUCGAGAGGAACACCGGUGGCGAAGGCGGCCUUCUGGACAGUGACUGACGCUGAGACGCGAAAGCGUGUGGAGCAAACAGG
rnacentral:rRNA from 1 species